rnacentral:rRNA from 1 species
ACUCCUACGGGAGGCAGCAGUGGGGAAUAUUGGGCAAUGGAGGAAACUCUGACCCAGCGACGCCGCGUGCGGGAUGAAGGCCUUCGGGUUGUAAACCGCUUUCAGUAGGGAAGAAGCGAAAGUGACGGUACCUACAAAAGAAGCACCGGCUAACUAUGUGCCAGCAGCCGCGGU